rnacentral:rRNA from 1 species
GAUGAACGCUAGCUACAGGCUUAACACAUGCAAGUCGAGGGGCAGCAUGGUCUUAGCUUGCUAAGGCCGAUGGCGACCGGCGCACGGGUGAGUAACACGUAUCCAACCUGCCGUCUACUCUUGGACAGCCUUCUGAAAGGAAGAUUAAUACAAGAUGGCAUCAUGAGUCCGCAUGUUCACAUGAUUAAAGGUAUUCCGGUAGACGAUGGGGAUGCGUUCCAUUAGAUAGUAGGCGGGGUAACGGCCCACCUAGUCUUCGAUGGAUAGGGGUUCUGAGAGGAAGGUCCCCCACAUUGGAACUGAGACACGGUCCAAACUCCUACGGGAGGCAGCAGUGAGGAAUAUUGGUCAAUGGGCGAGAGCCUGAACCAGCCAAGUAGCGUGAAGGAUGACUGCCCUAUGGGUUGUAAACUUCUUUUAUAAAGGAAUAAAGUCGGGUAUGGAUACCCGUUUGCAUGUACUUUAUGAAUAAGGAUCGGCUAACUCCGUGCCAGCAGCCGCGGUAAUACGGAGGAUCCGAGCGUUAUCCGGAUUUAUUGGGUUUAAAGGGAGCGUAGAUGGAUGUUUAAGUCAGUUGUGAAAGUUUGCGG